rnacentral:tRNA from 1 species
AACUUUUAUUGAAUAGUAUAAAAUAUUUAUUGGCUCAUAAUUAUGUAAUACUUCANUUUUACCUUUACUA